AUUGAACGCUGGCGGCCGGCCUAACACAUGCAAGUCGAACGAGUGGCGGACGGGUGAGUAAUGUCUGGGAAACUGCCAGAUGGAGGGAGAUAACUACUGGAAACGGUAGCUAAUACCGCCUACCAUCGGAUGUGCACAGAUGGGAUUUGCUAGGAGGUGGGGAAAAGGCUCACCUAGGCGACGAUCCCUAGCUGGUCUGAGAGGAUGACCAGCCACACGGGAACUGCGACACGGUCCAGACUCCUACGGGAGGCAGCAGUGGGGAAUAUGGCACAAUGGGCGCAAGCCUGAGGCAGCCAGGCCGCGUGUAUGAAGAAGGCCUUCGGGUUGUAAAGUACUUGCAGCGGGGAGGCGUUACCCGCAGAAGAAGCACCGGCUAAGUCCGUGCCAGCCGCCGCGGUAAUUC
rnacentral:rRNA from 1 species